rnacentral:misc_RNA from 1 species
GAUGAAGAACGCAGCGAAAUGCGAUAAGUAGUGUGAAUUGCAGAAUUCAGUGAAUCAUCGAAUCUUUGAACGCACAUUGCGCCCCUUGGUAUCCCGAGGGGCAUGCCUGUUCGAGCGUCAUUUGUACCUUCAAGCUUUGCUUGGUGUUGGGUGUUUGUCUCGCCUUUGCGUGUAGACUCGCCUUAAAAUAAUUGGCAGCCGGCGUAUUGAUUUCGGAGCGCAGUACAUCUCGCGCUUUGCACUCAUAACGACAGCGUCCAAAAGUACAUUUUACACUCUUGACCUCGGAUCAGGUAGGGAUACCCGCUGAACUUAAGCAUAUCAAUAAGCGGAGGA